GACGUAGGAGGCGAGCGUUGUCCGGAUUCAUUGGGCGUAAAGAGCACGCAGGCGGUUUGGCAAGUCGGGGGUGAAAGCCCGAGGCUCAACCUCGGAACUGCCUUCGAUACUGCGGGUCUCGAGUCCGGGAGAGGUGAGUGGAAUUCCUAGUGUAGAGGUGAAAUGCGCAGAUAUCAGGAGGAACACCAAUGGCGAAGGCAGCACUCUGGGACGUGACUGACGCUGAGACGCGAAAGCGUGGGGAGCAAACAGG
rnacentral:rRNA from 1 species